rnacentral:lncRNA from 1 species
AGCUGGCUGCAUCUGAAACAAGAGGAGAGAUGGGUAGGAGACGGGGGCAUCCAGGGCCCAGAUACAUCAAACGCAGCCCUGAUCUCUGUGCACACAAGCCACUGGGGUUGCAACAAGGGCAUCAACGUCUCUAAAGGCAGAGACAGGGGUCUGAGUGAACCUAGCUCUGCCCUAACUUGAGGUGACUGACCUAGCCCUAUGCAUUGAGGAUGAGUCUCCUUACCUUCAAAAUGGCCCUGAUAACCUCUCUUGAGGGUUGUUAUGAGGCUUGAGUGAGAUAGGAGUGUACAGCAGUUCCAGCACAGGCCUCUCCCACAACAGAUGAGUGAUUUGCUGCAAGGAUACAGGGAGAGACAAGCUAACUCUAAUGGUGGGGUGAUGUCAAGGGAGGUUUGGUGGGGAGCAACCCUGAGCUGGGCUUUGAAGGAUGGAGGCUGGUAAAGGAGGAGCUAUUCCAGGCAAAAGCAGCUGGGAUAGGCCUGCUUGGAGGUGGGGUGCUGGAGACAGGGGUGCCCAGCCUGUUCACAAUAAGAAGUAACCACGGUAAAGAUACAAAUAGUGUCCUGGGACAGAAGCCAAGCCACCUUGUUAUCUACUUUACCAGCUAAGCCCAGAGAGGGUGGAGCAGGCUCAAGGUCGGCUGCGGAGAUCCUGGCCUCAGCUUCCCAGCAGAGGGCUCUUCUGCAGAAAGUGAUCCCAGGAUAGGGGGCUGCCAUGGGAGUCAGGGAUUUGCACCCCAAAUUUCAGGUGGUAUCUGAGCUCUGUGUGUCCUUCCUACCCACCUCUCAGACAAGGUCUCCAAGCACAGAAGCUGAGCUAUUCCGGGUGGCCUGGAAGGAAGUAUCAGAACCAGGUAUGGAUGUUACAAGGAGGGCAGACUCCAUUUCAGCUUUUAAAAUAUUUUUCUCACAGUCAGAGCUGCUCCAUAACAGACCAGGCAACCUUUGAAGGUAAUGAGCUGUGUAUUUUGGCAAGGUUGUAAUGGACAGAAUUCCUAUAAGGUUGCAGUGGGUUGAACUUUGAGGUCUUUGAGGUCUCUUGCAGCCCUGAGCUUUGCUAUUUGGAAUACUUAGUUGAAUAAAUGAAGAGUGAAUAGCUACUUAUUAUUUGCUGGUUGAAUGAAGGUUGAUUUGUUAGAGAAAGUGAAUGAAUGAAUGAAAUUAGUAGUCCUAAUAAAUACAGAAUGCUUGACUGAAUGAAGACUGGUUCAUUCAUUGAUUAGUUGAAUGAAGGUUGAUUGGUUGGUUGCAAGAAAGAAUUCAUAAAUGUAGGUCAUAGAUGAGCAGGCUGCUUAAAUGAAGGUUUGGUGGCUGAUAGGAUUCAGUUCCUUGGCACUUGCUAUCUUCUCUUAUCUUGCCCUUUAUCCUGCUUUUCUUUCUUUUCCUUCCAAGUGUAGUCAAGAACUGUUUUCAUUUGUGUGCUGGGUGUGCAAAACAUUGCAGACUAAAGACUCCUUUUGCAUAAACAAGAUUGGUUGCCCAGGCACAUGCUUAUGGUGACUGGUCUAACCUGCUUCUGAACUAAUGGGUGAUCUGAAUUUAGCAUCUUGGCCUAGGGAGUGGAACUGAAGGUCACAACUGGAGCUGGGCCUCACGUAGGCUCCCUCAUGUGUAGGCAGAAAAUGCUGUCUUCUCUGUGGGUGAGCAAAGGUUGCCUAUUUGCAAGAAACUAUAUCCCAAACAUUCUUUCAAAGUGCCUAAAAUUCCACCAGUAGAAUUACACCUUCUUUGCACAACAGAGCUGAAAGGCUGUUGAAGCAGCACAUUCCAGCAACCUUUUGCUCAGAUUGUUGUGCCUUUGGAGUAACUGUGAUCCUUGGUGAAAUGUGAAUGGAGUCAGGGAAGGGAUGCAUGUGAAGCCCUUAGUGGCUGGAUUAACCAACUGUUGUCACCAGCUCCUUCGGUCAAUUUGGUCUAUUAGCUGAGCUCAGUGCUCCUAAUGGGGAACAGAGGAACCUGGACCCAGGCUGGAUAAGCUUUGUAGGGACAGUGAACAGGAAAUAGCCUGAGUACUUGAGUACUAUCAUGGGCUGUAGACAUAGGCAAGGGGCCAUGGUGGAAUCCUGAAGAUGAGGAGCGGCUCUUGAAGGGGACCCACGAAGGAAACCUAAGUAAGGAAAGAGGCCCAGAGACUUUCCCUCCCAUUCCCCAGGGUUGUCUUGAGCUGGCUUGGGUGCAAAAAGGAAUAAUAUACUUUCCUGGUCCCCCUCAUCCUGCCCCACCUCUGGAACUAGAGAACCAAAUAACUUGAGAACUGCAUGUAACUUGUGUGGUCCCUCCACCAGCUUAAGGUAAAAACUAUGGCCAAAUUUUUUCCCCAUUAAUUGCUUGAGCUCCACAAGAUUUUAUCAGCAGGAAGUUCAAUCUGGCCCUCUGGAGGCCUUCCCCCAUGUCACAGGAGUGCUCAAAACCCACAGGGACUACACUAGCUCCUUUCCAACAAAGGCACUCUUGAGUCCCAGUCUUGCUCCAUCUUACUGUUCAGAGUCCCAGCAGCUGUGAACACAUGACCCCCAAAUCCAAGCUUUCAUUCACACUCCUGAGCUCCAGCAAGUUUCACCAGGAGGAAGGUCCAGAGGGGCUUCUAGGUCCUCAGCCCCAGAGUUAAGCCUGGCCACCAGUCCAAGGCUCCUUCCUACACCACUGGGGGCUCAGGGGUUCUUUCCUUCCAACAAGUGGGGCUCACUGGGGAUGGUCAUCUUAGCAGCCAGAUAACUUUGAACCUCACAAGGAAAGUGACUGGACCUUCUUCCAUUUGUGCCCUGGGGCUCCUUUGUCAACGUCUCACUCCUCCCAAAUAUGUUGCCUUUUUCUUCAGCUCUGCAUCCCAUUUGAUGUUAGGAGAGGCAGCCUUUGUUGGGCCACAAAAGGUCCUGUUUUGUCUCCCAGGUGCUACUUACAUCUGAUAAACUCAAGUGGUGGACAGAACAGAGAGGGCCUCCUCCAAGGUGACUUGCUAAGUCCUCCCCUAACGACGAAAUAGAGAAGCUUCCUGCCCCUGUUACACAUGGCCUCCUCCCGGGCCCAGCAGCUCACCUGGACCACGGAAAGCACAGAAAGAACUGGCUGAAUGAAUCAAGAGAUCAAGUGUUCUCCCUGAGGCCCUGUAACAGCUCUGCAGCUGACUGCCCAGAAGGAAGCAGAAGUGAGUGACAAGUUGGGGGAACCAGAGCUUGCACACCAUAGGCCUGAACACUAGCCUCUGGGGAAAGGCAAGUCCAGCUGACCUUGGUGAAGUUAGGACCCGGGCCGAGGCCACCUCUUCUGGUUCACCCUCUGCUGGCCUCCCAGCUUCUUUGGCUCAGCAACACCCAGGAUUCCAGGCAUGUUUGCCUCUGGCCUUCUAAAAAUACCCAGGCCACCCAGCACCUCCCAGAUGUCUGAGCGCUGAGUCUGUGAUUUCCCUGCCGGUAAUGGGACAGCCCCGGGGUGGGCAGGCGGGGGUGGCUCGAGCAGCUCAAGCCACUUCCUCUGCCUCCCAUCCCCUAGCCUACCAGAAGCUGGACCCAGCCCUGCCUCCCAAUCCUUGCAAGGCAAAGGAGGGUAGAGGCUAGCAGACCUCAGAGAUUGUUGACUCCAGUCUCUUCUUGGGACAGAUGGGAGAUCUGAAGUCUAAGGAUUGCUCAUGGCACUUGUGCCAUUAAGGUCCUCCUCACCCCACUCCCCAGCACUGUGUUCAUGCCUGCUGCUGUCUCACUUCCCACAUGCUACUUGGAGUCUAGGUCUUGGAGCCCAACCUGACUUCCUCCAUGCAGCUGAAAGCUCCUGACAGCAGUGAAGGGGAGGAUCCCUGUGGUCUCCAUGGUGCCUGGAAGAGUGUCCAAUCCAGAGCACACCAUCAGUAAACGUAGAUUGGAUUGAACAAUGUAGUGGCAGCUGGGGCAAUGGGUGGAGCACUGGGCUGGAGGACAAAGCCUCUGAAUUCUAUCUAGCCCAGGGUCAGCCACUGUGAUACUAUGCAUCCUCAUCAAUUGCCCUGGACAAACCUGUUUCUCCUGGGCUGGAUAGGAUGGUGUCUAAGGACUGAGCCAGCUCUGCUGAUAUGAAGCUGCAAGCUGAUGCCCUGCUGGAUAUUCCUGUCCCUUCUCUGCUCUACUGUAUGUCUGGGAGAGAUGGCACAACCUGUAGGUUCCAUCAGCUCCAGGUUCUCAGCUUCUGCUCCUCCCUCCGUGCUUCUGAACAUUCCACCUCUGGUCCUAGCCCCUGAGGCCCAGCUCUUCCAAUAGUGCCACUUCCACCUCUGCUGCUGGGUACACAGGGGUGAAUGCAUACCUACCUCGCUCACUAAUCAUGUGACCUUGGGUAAGGCAUUGCCCUUUUCUGGGCUUCAGUUUUAUCAUAUCUAAAAGGGAAUAAUAAGGCCUACCUUAAAGGAGUGCUAUGAGGAUGUAGGAGAUUCCAUAGCUCAGAUGUCAGGUUAUAUAUCACCUCCUGCAGAAAGUCUCCCCUGUCCUCCCAAGGAUGGCUCAGAUAGCAUUUGUUGCUGGCUCUUCAGUUCUGACCUUCCCAUGUUCACACUAUGUGGUCAUUGGCUCUCUAUGCAUCCAUCCCCCACCAAGCUGUGGGCUCCUCAAGGCCAGGAGUCUCCAGGACCCAGUACAGGACCUUUACAGAUGAAGUGCCUGGGAACGUUUUUUGACAGACACAGUGGGUGAGUAAAGCCUGAGAGAAAGGCAAGGGGUUGUGCAGAAGUCUGGGAGUCUGAGUAAGAAGUGGCCUGACUGACAGGGCAAGUUCUGGUGGUAUGAAUAUUGACAGCUGCUUGGAGCCCUUCCCCCAUUUCCCUGCUUGGUAAAUUCAUCCUUCAAGAUCCCAGGAGAGCAUCUCCUUCCCUGAGAAACCUGAUCACUCUCCCCUCUACCACAUUACACACUCCACUGUAGGUGUUCUUUACACACCUGUCUCCCUUCUCAGAUGUGAGUUCCCUGAAGGCAAGACCCUGUUGGAUCUCACAGCACCAAGCACUAGAUCUGGCAUGAGUUAGUCAAGGUUUUGGAGCAGAAGAAUGGAUGGAGGAAAUAAUUUCUGAAUCGAACUUGGAAUUGAACUGCCUGAACUUUAAUGCCCUUUCCAGCCUUAGGGAUGAUAAUGAAUUACCAAAGUGAGAAAAAUGGAGGCGCAAGCUGUUGUCAUCCUUCCAGAGGCACCCUCCAAGUGUGUGUGGGUGAAAUGUGAGCUGGAGAGAGGAUUGACAAAGAGCAGUGAAAACAUAUUCCUGGACCCCAUUCUUUUUUUUUUUUUUUUUUUUUUUGAGA